AUGCCAAAGACAACAACUACUCCUAGGCCUUUGCCAGGCAGUUCUUUUAUUACUGCUGCUAGAGAAGCCCUUGGCACAGGGACAACAAGCACCUCAACAGCAGCAGGAGACCUUGCUAUGAAGGCUGUAGCUAUGAGAAUUGCAAAAGAAGAGGUCUUUGCUACACAGAGAGAUGCAACACAAGAGCAAAGGUAUGAGUCCCAUGAGAAGCAAGCUGCUGAUAUGCUUGCUAGAAGAGAAACAGAGAAGGCAAAGAAAGAAGAAGAGAAGGCAAAGAAGAGAGCAGAAGCGCUAGCAAAGAAAGAAGAAGAGAAGGCAAAGAAGAGAGCAGAAGCACUAGCAAAGAGAGAAGAAGAGAAGGCAAAGAAAGCACAGAAAAUGGCAGCAGAGAUAGAAGAAAAGAGGAAAGUUGCAAUUGCCAGGAGAGAAGCUCAUCUACAAGCAAAGCUUAGGGAAGCAGAGGAGAAGAAGGCUGCUGCACAAGCAAAGAGGGCUGCUUCUACUAUGUCCAAUAGAGCAAAAAACACAAGGUCAACAUGUUUGAUGAAUUCAGAUGAAUGUUCAUCCUCUAGUCUUUAG
rnacentral:rRNA from 1 species